AUUAUUAUUUCUAAACUUUUUUAUGCAAAAUCAAAACUAUAUAUGCAUACUUUAAGUGCAUAUCUUUAUUUAAGAAUGUAACUACAUUUCAGGCUCUGACAUAACUUUUAGAAGCUUGCAAUAUACCUCGAAAGACGAAAUACGAGAAACAUAUAAUAUAUUGGUAUCAGAGCUGAGUCUUUCGAAAAACUACUUCGUGGGCGAAAACAAGAAUUUGGAAUGGACGAUACUGUUACUAUUACGAAUUCUAUUACAGAGUGGGUCAGUGAAAGUUCGGGUUGAUCAAACAGUGUUUCAGAAAGCUAACAAAAAAAGUGAAUCUGAUGCAUUAAACGGAACAUUUCUCUAAAAAAAUUCCAUCCACAAGUAGAGAAAAAUAUUUAAUUUUGCAAUAUCAAUGCAAUCAAAA